rnacentral:rRNA from 1 species
GACGAACGCUGGCGGCGUGCUUAACACAUGCAAGUCGAGCGGUAAGGCCCUUUCGGGGGUACACGAGCGGCGAACGGGUGAGUAACACGUGGGUGACCUGCCCUCAGCUCUGGGAUAAGCCUGGGAAACCGGGUCUAAUACCGGAUAUGACUCCAUGACGCAUGUUGUGGGGUGGAAAGCCUUGUGCGGCUGAGGAUGGGCCCGCGGCCUAUCAGCUUGUUGGUGGGGUGAUGGCCUACCAAGGCGACGACGGGUAGCCGGCCUGAGAGGGCGACCGGCCACACUGGGAUUGAGACACGGCCCAGACUCCUACGGGAGGCAGCAGUGGGGAAUCUUGCGCAAUGGGCGAAAGCCUGACGCAGCGACGCCGCGUGAGGGAUGACGGCCUGUGUAAC